ACCUGAUUCAUUCCCAGGCUGUACCUCAAACACACUAUGUAUUUGCCGGCUCACUGGUCAACACAGAGAAAAACACUUGUUUUCAUUCUCAGUAAGGAACUCUGGGAGGUAACUUGGGCAGGCACCAAGAGAACAGCAUCAGCAAACUAAUUAACCACAUAGGAACUAGAGGCUCUUGCACUCUGCCUAGAACCCCACCUAACCAUUUCAGAUAAGAAUUCCAAAGUGUCCCCAUUUACCCUUUAUUCUUAUAGGAAAUCUCAUCCUCAUUAGACAAUCCUUGUCAUGUAGCGUCUGUGCCAUGUUUUGCUUGUAUGUGGCAUUGAGAGGUCUAAACAUAUCCCUUAGCCAAGGCGGCUGCUUUUUCCAGAAAAAGCCCUCCUAGAUAACAGAUAAAUAUAAAUUCUGCGUUUCCCUUGUUUCUCCUGCCACAAAACAUGCUGUCCUGUUUCCCAGUCCCACUGCUCCACUAGGGGACGCUGUGCUAUUGUCCUGUGUGCGGUUGGCACCAUUCUGCAUCUCAUAUUGCUAAGCCACCAGCAGUUAUCUGUGGUCAUUUAGGUCUAUUAUUAAAUCUUAUUCACUCAGAAUUUCUUUCACUCACUCAGGCAUUUAACUCUCACUGACUUAAUGUGAUGUAGUAAUGACUCUCCUCUCUUUGCAGGAGUGGAGGAACCAGUACAUUCACUUGGAAUCAUGCGUCGAAGGAUCUGUGUUGGACACAGAAGUAAGUAGGUAGGUUUGGUGCUGGGCUGAGCUGGAGGGAGCCGAGGAGCACACACAUGACCUGCAGUGGGGUCCACAGAGGCUGAGGCAGGACAAGUGAAUGGAGCAGUGGCCCCACCAGUAUGUUUCCUGAAAUAAAGUCCUGAGGAGGGAA